rnacentral:lncRNA from 1 species
CCAUCUAUUCAUCUAUUCACUCAUCCCUCCAUCCAUCUUUUUUUUUUUUUUUUUUACAUUUUGCCUCAACCGCCCCCGGAGCCCCGAGCUGGGGCCGGGGCUGCGCCAGGCGCCGGCGGCGGCCAUGGCGGGAGCGGCUGCGGGGCUGCGGGCGGCGGCGGCGGCGGUGGCGAAGGAGGAAGAAGAAGCGGCGGCGGUGGACGCCGAAGCGAAGCGGGGCGCCGCCCUCCAUCCAUCUUUGAACAAAUAUUUCUUGAGCACGUUCAACACUUGGUCACACUCAGUGCUUUUCCAGCCCAGCGGCUAGGCCUUGGACAAUGUGGGGAGGAUGACGGCCAGUUCCGCACCCCCGCCCCCGCCCGCCACCACCUGCUUGCCGUGGCUGGGAUUUCACUGGACUGGGGAGGAAUUCUUUCCGAGGAGUCCCUUCUGGAGGCCUCGUCCUUCCUCUGGAAGUGUAUGACUUUUAAGAAUGAAGAAAGAGUCUUUUCUAAGAGACAUGUGUAUCUAGCUGUGUGACCUGAGCGUGUUGUCAUCAUCUUUCUGGACCUGAGACCACACUUCUGCGAGGAGGCGACUGUCUAGAUCCUGGCGUAGACCCACCACGCCCUGAUGUCCUGACCACCUCUGCACAGUCAGAGAAACAGUGCCCGGUGUUGACCAAGAGUCCAUGGAACAAAAACGGCUGGAUCAGGUCUUCCUAGAGCAGGGCUGAUGGGGUGGGGAGCCUGGGGAGAUGAGCAGCAAAGGAAACAGCAGAAAGAGCACUUCAAACGUGUUGGCAAUGGUCUGAUCUGGCUGGGCAGAGUUUGAGCCUCCACUCUGCACUUGUCUGUGUGGCCUCAGCGUAGGGCUGCUCUCUCUGAUCCUGACCUCAGGCCGGGGGAGCUCAGAGGGUGGUCAGGAGGCUCAGAGCAGUGACCAGGGUGUGGGGUUCAGGAAUGGGUUCCUGUUUUAGCACACAAUAGUUUUCAUCAGCCACAUUCUGGUUUGUAGCAGCUUGGGUGACUUCCCUUAAUUCAGGCCUGGUUCUGGGUUCUGACCUUGGGGACAAGGCAGUGGAGGCAGGAGAGGAGGUCAGCCUGGUUCGUGGUCAGGGGCCAGGCAUGGGGACAACGGGCACGAACCUCAGUCCACAGAAAGACCCUUGACCGCACGACACUAUGAGAAACUACCUGUUUUUUUUUCUCUUGGCUCUGAAACCUGUGUGGAGUUUGAAAAACAUAGAAACUUCGUCUAGCUGAAAUAUAGAGUUUCCUUUAGCCAGUCUUUGAGAACAGGUCUGCUAGUUAGAAACUGUUAAUAUCUCAGUUUUCCUUUGGCUAAGAAUUUUGUAU